rnacentral:rRNA from 1 species
UACGUAGGGUGCGAGCGUUAAUCGGAAUUACUGGGCGUAAAGCGUGCGUAGGCGGUUCGUUAAGUUCGUUGUGAAAGCCCCGGGCUCAACCUGGGAACUGCAUUUGUGACUGCAUGGCUAGAGUACGGCAGAGGGGGAUGGAAUUCCGCGUGUAGCAGUGAAAUGCGUAGAUAUGCGGAGGAACACCGAUGGCGAAGGCAAUCCCCUGGGCCUGUACUGACGCUCAUGCACGAAAGCGUGGGGAGCAAACAGG